ACACAAAUCACCUGGAGACCUUGUUAAAAUGCAGAUUCCAAUUCAGUAGGUCUGGCGAAGAGCCUGAAAUUCAGAAUUUCUAACAAGUUCCCAAGUGAUUGUGAU
rnacentral:pre_miRNA from 1 species